GACGGGGGGGGCAAGUGUUCUUCGGAAUGACUGGGCGUAAAGGGCACGUAGGCGGUGAAUCGGGUUGAAAGUGAAAGUCGCCAAAAAGUGGCGGAAUGCUCUCGAAACCAAUUCACUUGAGUGAGACAGAGGAGAGUGGAAUUUCGUGUGUAGGGUGAAAUCCGUAGAUCUACGAAGGAACGCCAAAAGCGAAGGCAGCUCUCUGGGUCCCUACCGACG
rnacentral:rRNA from 1 species